UGAGAUGUUGGGUUAAGUCCCGUAACGAGCGCAACCCUUGUCCUUAGUUACCAGCACGUUAAGGUGGGCACUCUAAGGAGACUGCCGGUGACAAACCGGAGGAAGGUGGGGAUGACGUCAAGUCAUCAUGGCCCUUACGGCCUGGGCUACACACGUGCUACAAUGGUCGGUACAAAGGGUUGCCAAGCCGCGAGGUGGAGCUAAUCCCAUAAAACCGAUCGUAGUCCGGAUCGCAGUCUGCAACU
rnacentral:rRNA from 1 species